rnacentral:rRNA from 1 species
AUUGAACGCUGGCGGCAGGCUUAACACAUGCAAGUCGAGCGGAGAUGAGGUGCUUGCACCUUAUCUUAGCGGCGGACGGGUGAGUAAUGCUUAGGAAUCUGCCUAUUAGUGGGGGACAACAUUCCGAAAGGAAUGCUAAUACCGCAUACGUCCUACGGGAGAAAGCAGGGGAUCUUCGGACCUUGCGCUAAUAGAUGAGCCUAAGUCGGAUUAGCUAGUUGGUGGGGUAAAGGCCUACCAAGGCGACGAUCUGUAGCGGGUCUGAGAGGAUGAUCCGCCAACCGGGGACUGAGACACGGCCCAGAGUCCUACGGGAGGCAGCAGUGGGGAAUAUUGGACAAUGGGGGGAACCCUGAUCCAGCCAUGCCGCGUGUGUGAAGAAGGCCUUAUGGUUGUAAAGCACUUUAAGCGAGGAGGAGGCUACUGAGACUAAUACUCUUGGAUAGUGGACGUUACUCGCAGAAUAAGCACCGGCUAACUCUGUGCCAGCAGCCGCCGUAAUAC